rnacentral:rRNA from 1 species
GACGAACGCUGGCGGCGUGCUUAACACAUGCAAGUCGAACGAUGAAACCUAGCUUGCUAGGUCGAUUGGUGGCGAACGGGUGAGUAACACGUGACUAACCUGUCCCUUUCUCUGGGAUAACGCUCCGAAAGGAGUGCUAAUACCGGAUACUCACACCGAGGCACAUGCCUUGGUGUGGAAAGUUUUUCGGAAAGGGAUGGAGUCGCGGCCUAUCAGCUUGUUGGUGAGGUAACGGCUCACCAAGGCGACGACGGGUAGCCGGCCUGAGAGGGCGACCGGCCACACUGGGACUGAGACACGGCCCAGACUCCUACGGGAGGCAGCAGUGGGGAAUAUUGCACAAUGGGCGCAAGCCUGAUGCAGCGACGCCGCGUGAGGGAUGAAGGUCUUCGGAUUGUAAACCUCUUUCAGUAGGGACGAAGCGAAAGUGACAGUACCUAAAGAAGAAGCACCGGCUAACUACGUGCCAGCCGCCGCAGUAA